rnacentral:rRNA from 1 species
ACCCGCUGAACUUAAGCAUAUCAAUAAGCGGAGGAAAAGAAACCAACAGGGAUUGCCCUAGUAACGGCGAGUGAAGCGGCAAGAGCUCAAAUUUGAAAUCUGGCCCCCUUGGGGGUCCGAGUUGUAAUUUGCAGAGGGUGCUUUGGCGUUGGCUGUGGUCUAAGUUUCUUGGAACAGGACGUCGCAGAGGGUGAGAAUCCCGUAUGUGGCCGCCAGCCUCCGCCGUGUAAAGCCCCUUCGACGAGUCGAGUUGUUUGGGAAUGCAGCUCUAAAUGGGAGGUAAAUUUCUUCUAAAGCUAAAUACUGGCCAGAGACCGAUAGCGCACAAGUAGAGUGAUCGAAAGAUGAAAAGCACUUUGGAAAGAGAGUCAAAAAGCACGUGAAAUUGUUGAAAGGGAAGCGCUUGCAGCCAGACUUGCCUGUAGUUGCUCAUCCGGGCUCUUGCCCGGUGCACUCUUCUGCGGGCAGGCCAGCAUCAGUCCGGGCGGUUGGAUAAAUGCCUGCUAAAUGUACCUCUCCUCGGGGAGGACUUAUAGGGCAGGCGGCAUACAACCAGCCUGGACUGAGGUCCGCGCAUCUGCUAGGAUGCUGGCGUAAUGGCUGU